GGGAGGUAGUGACAAGAAAUAACAAUACGGGGCUUAAUGUCUUGUAAUUGGAAUGAUGGGAAUUUAAACCUCUUCCAGAGUAUCAAUUGGAGGGCAAGUCUGGUGCCAGCAGCCGCGGUAAUUCCAGCUCCAAUAGCGUAUAUUAAAAUUGUUGCAGUUAAAAAGCUCGUAGUUGAAUUUCUGCUGCAUUGCUUUUGCUCCUUUACGAGUCUUUGCAUUGUGGCUUAUUUCGGACUUUGUUUUACAAUGUCCGGAUGUUUACUUUGAGAAAAUUAGAGUGCUCAAAGCAGGCUUUCGCCUUGAAUAGUUUAGCAUGGAAUAAUAAAGUAGGACUUUGGUUCUAUUUUGUUGGUUUUAGGUACCAAAGUAAUGGUUAAUAGGAACAGUUGGGGGCAUUCGUAUUUAACUGUCAGAGGUGAAAUUCUUAGAUUUGUUAAAGACGAACUACUGCGAAAGCAUUUGCCAAGGAUGUUUUCAUUAAUCAAGAACGAAAGUUAGGGGAUCGAAGACGAUCAGAUACCGUCGUAGUCCUAACCAUAAACUAUGCCGACUAGAGAUUGGAGGUCGUCAGUUUUUACGACUCCUUCAGCACCUUGAGAGAAAUCAAAGUCUUUGGGUUCUGGGGGGAGUAAUGGUCGCAAGGCUGAAACUUAA
rnacentral:rRNA from 1 species